UCGAGAAUCUUCCGCAAUGGGCGAAAGCCUGACGGAGCGACACCGCGUGCAGGAUGAAGGCCUUCGGGUUGUAAACUGCUGUCACGCUAUAGGAAUUCCCUGUCGUUAAUAGCUGCAGGGUUGACUAAAGCGAGAGGAAGCACCGGCUAACUCCGUGCCAGCAGCCGCGGUAAGACGGAGGGUGCAAACGUUGUUCGGAAUUAUUGGGCAUAAAGCGCACGUAGGCGGUUCGUUAAGUCAGUCGUGAAAUCCCUCGGCUCAACCGGGGAACUGCGUUUGAUACUGGCGAACUCGAGGACGGUAGGGGUGAGUGGAACUCCAGGUGGAGCGGUGAAAUGCGUAGAUAUCUGGAGGAACACCGGUGGCGAAAGCGGCUCACUGGACCGUAUCUGACGCUGAGGUGCGAAAGCUAGGGUAGCAAACGGGAUUAGAUACCCCCGUAGUCC
rnacentral:rRNA from 1 species